rnacentral:lncRNA from 1 species
GGGUAGCAUAUCCCCCUACAGCGGCCAAACCCCGGUGCACCCAGCCGCUGCUCUUGAACCCCGCCUCCAUCAGCUCCACUUCACUGGAGCCGUCAGUCUGCAGGAGUAGGGGUAGCAGGUUCACCCGACGUCCGACGCCUUCUUCCAUCUCCAAAAAUCUUGUUUUUUGAGUUCAGUUCUUCAUCACAUGUUUCACUAGCUGAAAUUGCAUGGUGUUCUGAAAUUGCUUGCGGACCACUAGCUGUAAUUGCUUGACGAACAGAGCAAAGGUUGUAUCUUCGUCUACUGUUUUUCAGAUAUUCGUCAUAUGCAUGAGCACGGCUAUAUUUGCUUGUUAUGAUAUAGUGGGCACCAUUAACAUUUGAUAUUCCUUCUGCAGGGCCCAAACCCACUAUCGUGCAAGAAAAAGAAAUCAAAGCCUCAACCAUCAGCUGCUCAAAUCAUCAGGUAAUUAAUUAGCACUAAACAUACGUGUCUAAUCCAAUGUUGCGAAAGCAAGCUUGGAGUUGCCUGACUUAUCUUGAGGUGUAGAACUGAUAGUAAGACCCAGAAGAGAUAAUGCAACAAAAAUGUUAGAUAGGCAGGGGAAGUCCAUUGUGCAUUCUGAUUUGUUGUAGCUCCUGACAUCACGGUUUAUGUGUGCUGUAGGAUUGAUUUUUGUUUGGUUGUAAUAGUAAUAUCCUAAUUCUGUUCAUGGAGGACGCUUGAGUGGGUUGUCUAUUUGAUGAUUUUAGUUACUGCUCAACACCUCAUUCCAUUAGUAUAGCGAGAACUACACAAGAUAAAUAAGAUGGGAGAGGAUAAAUAUCAUUGUGUGGUUCUUUUGCCCUUAUAUUGAAUACAACUUCUAUUUGAUUUUCAGUUCACCUUUUGCGUUCUUUUCAGUUCAUAAACCUUAAGUAUUGAUGAAAUCAUGAACUAUUAUAUGUGCACUCUACGUAUUUGUUCUUAUGCCUACGAAGAAUUCUGCACUUGUGCUGCUAUGCAUCAGUUUAGGUCACCAAAAAAGCUGAUUCUUUCUUUAAUGGGCUUUAUAUGUACUUCGAGAUGCGCCAUCAGCUUCUCCUGCUCCUCCUCCUCCUGGUAUACACGAACUCCAGUUCGUCGAGAGGCUCCCUGGAGGUUCAAAACAUUUCACUUCACCAUUUUAUGUUUUUUUAGUUCAUCUUAUAAAAAGCAAAAGAAAAACUAUCUGUCACAAGUUCAGGUAUACAUGCUGCACAAGUUCAAAAAUGGGAAGAAACAAAGCUCAAACCAAGUUUAAAAAUUGUUGCCUUAAUAAAUUAGUUGGUUUGGGUUAAUUCGUUGUUAUGGACAGUACAAAUGCAUAUUGUUGUGUAGUACAUGUGUGUGUUGUGAUUGUAAUUGUGAUUUGGAGUUCACAAAAAGAUAACAAAGGGUACAUAAAAGAACCCAAAACAUUCAGUAGUCGAACUAUGUUGCUUCUAUGAUUUUCCUUAUGCAGAAAAUCAAACGUUUAAACUAUGUUUCACCUUAAAACUUAAACGUGUUUGUUCUUUGAGCUAAAAUUCCUAGAGCUUUAGUCCAACUUUUGGUGAUUAUUGUACCUAUUGUUCAGAAAUCAAUGGUGAAAAAUUCUGAUUGCAGCAAUGGCAUGCUCCAAGCCCGCCGAGACUGAAUCAUUCGACAUCAAUUCUCUGCACAGCGUGGCUCGACGUGCAGCCCGCCGGCUCCUUCGUGUACGUCCAGACAAGAUGCUAUGAUGUACAAUUUAAUGCAUGAAGUAAGCCCAUCAAUUCAGUUUCAUUUUCCAAAUUUCUUUUGAACUUGUUGUCACUUAACUUUUACAUGUAUCUAGUUAUAGUAGUACUAGCCAGAUCAAGCUACUUCAUUUUUAUGAAAUUCUAGAACUCUUACAUAUCCGUACUGUUGCUGCUCCACUCGUAUUUUCUAUUUCUUCUCAUGUGUGCACUAAACUUAUAACACUAUUCAUGACCAGCUUCUAGUUUUUUCUCUAUUAUGUGAUUCACUUCUACAAAAAAAGGUUGGGUUAUAUAAAUAGGACAAAGAUGUUUGCUUGCUUUCCAGCAAUGAAAUGGUUGGAAAUGUAUCGAUGAUGUAAAUACAGCUCUUGUCUUGUGUUUUUCAAAAAUAAAAUCACACAAGUACGUGGUGGAAGUUUGUAUCAGUUCGGAGAAAAAAAGAAACAAAGUUCAAAAAGAAAAAUCGUGAGUUCACCUUCCAUAAAGUUUAUAAGUGCAGAGAUAGCACCUUGAUGUAGUAUGAAAAUAUGUUUUGCAAAUUUGCAAUUCAGGAAUGGGUGUGUGUGUUGUAGUCUCUGGCUACAGAGUCGAUAUGUGUUUUUGUAGUGUUGGUAGUUGUAGUCUCCCGCGCUCUUUGCCGUCGUCAAGGGCGCAUGUGUGACGUCCUCAGUCCAACCCCAUGGCAUCAGGGUGGUUGAGUUCGUCGCGACCAGCUGUCCAUGGUUGUCGGCUUCAACUUUAUUCCACCUAGGUGCUUUCACUUCUUUUUGGAUGUUUUUUGUAUGAAUCUGCAUUUUGGUUAUUAAAUUCAGUACGACGAAACGCAUGAAUCCCCAACGUGUACCAAAUUACUGAUUCUAUUAAAAACGGUUAGUAGAUUUCGCCAUUGGUUGGUCUACUUGUGUAAAUCUAUCAGUUCAUGACAAGUAACUUCAGAUGCUAGAAAUGUAGGAUGUUUGUGUGAAUCUUGCUUGUUUCAGAGAGAAAAAGAGUUUGUAGUUCCUUUGGGACUAUAAUACUUGUAUCUGCAGUACUGGUUGGGAAAUUUUGGUAGUUCAUUUUGCUUAUAUCUGCAUGUUGUCUCUUCCUGCAGGACCCGACCCAACCAGCGUCGCCAUGGCACGGCGCCUACUGGCGAAGGACCACCACCUCCCCGACGACGUGCCCAAACCCGCCGACGAGGCCCGCCGCCCCAACCCUCCUCCUUCCUCCUCGCAUCGGGAUGAGCAAGAUCCAGCCGGCGCCUAAAGCCCAUUCCACCAUUGUACCUCUCCCUUCCGCUCGCUGCACUGACCGGUGUGACAUAGCGCCGCCGCCAAGGUAAACUUCUUUCCUCCCAUCAUCGCCCCUGCAUCUCCUAGACAAGAUGGUUGGUUCGAUGACUUCUUCAUCGGUAUUUCGAUUUAGGCUAUGACACCUGUGUUGCAUAGUAGGUGUUUGCAAUAAUGCAUGAGCCAAAGAAGCUUAUUUUUUGUUGUUUCUAUUUUCAGCUAAAUUAAGAAAGAAUUUCAUUUUGGUUCCUCUGUGGUGCUUGAGAUAAAUUAUAAUCAGUUCAUGUGCGUUCGCGCGAGAAGUUCCCUUAUGAAAAUUAAAUCAAAUAGUCCGUGCACAGUAAAAGGGAAUAUUUACAAAGAAAAAUGUACGAAAAGUACAUUUAUCAUAUUUUGUGAAGUUCUAGAAAAAGAAAAGGAAAAGUUCAAGCAAAACCAAAAAGUUCAAAAAUAGGGCCGUUGUUGGUGUCCUGGGUCAGUUCAUGUGCUACCAUUGGAGGAGUUUAAAAAAUCAGAACUAGUGCAUUUCCAUAAAAUUCUGUAGUUUCGUGUGUGUGUUGCUACAAAUAUGAACAAUUUUUUUCCAAUCAUACUAGUACUGAUGCAAUCACCUAAAAUAAGUUGAAGAAAAAUUCUGUAAGUUUGGUGCAUGUGUUGCUACAAAAAUCUAUUGUAUGUCUGUGUGUAGCUACUGUAUGUCUUCUGAAUCAUGAUGCAUGAUAUUCUUUUAGGAAAAAACAUUUCAGGUUAUUGGUGCCGCUGGAUAACUGUCAUAGUUUGUCGCCAGCAAAGUCCUCGAACUUGGCCUACACCAGUAGUAGAACUUACUGGUUCUCCAUGACCUAAAGUUGAAAACAGACAAAAAUUCUCAAGUAAUGUAAUCUGUAGCAAAAUACACGAUUUUUUUAUCGAAAUGUUUGUAACUAGAGGAUUAUAACCACUACAGGAUGCCAAAAAAGUAUCAAACUGCACAAGUAGUGUUCCAUUUAUCUUUCUCUCAUGCCUUCCCUUUUGAUCUUAUAGGGAUUGAGGCUUCGCCAAGGAACAAGACUGGUAACUAGCGCAAAGGAGACUAUGUCGAGAGGUGGCACUGCUAGACUUGCUGAUGUGUAGUUAUGGCAUAAAAAAGAUGAAAAAAAUGGUAUCUUGUAUGAUUCCAUAAAGUGUACGUAUCAAAUCUUCCCAUGUGGAUCAGUACAACUUAUGUACGGCCUUGAGUUCACAAAUCUUAUAGUAAUCUUUGUAGUACUUUCCGUAACACUAAGUAAAGCAAGAGUAGCCCUUUUUUGUGAGCAACAAUUCAAACGAAUCUGUUGUAUCAGUUCUUAUGAUAGAUAGAAGAAAGUUCACCAGCCAAAAGGUUAGAGAAGUCUACCUUAUAAUUUGCAAUCUUUAAAGAUAAUGAUCAGUUUGAAUUAAAAAAUUGGUUUUUGCAUUAAAAACAAUGAUCAGAUCAAAUUAAAAACAAUGAUCAAUUUGAAUUAAAAAAUAAAUGAUCAGUUCGAACAAGAAACAAUUGUC